rnacentral:rRNA from 1 species
UACGUAGGGUGCAAGCGUUAAUCGGAAUUACUGGGCGUAAAGCGUGCGCAGGCGGCUUUGCAAGACAGAUGUGAAAUCCCCGGGCUUAACCUGGGAGCUGCAUUUGUGACUGCAUGGCUGGAGUGCGGCAGAGGGGGAUGGAAUUCCGCGUGUAGCAGUGAAAUGCGUAGAUAUGCGGAGGAACACCGAUGGCGAAGGCAAUCCCCUGGGCCUGCACUGACGCUCAUGCACGAAGCGUGGGGAGCGAAACAGG